GACGAACGCUGGCGGCGUGCUUAACACAUGCAAGUCGAACGGAAAGGCCCCUUUGGGGGUACUCGAGUGGCGAACGGGUGAGUAACACGUGAGUAACCUGCCCUUGACUUCGGGAUAACUUCAGGAAACUGGGGCUAAUACCGGAUAGGAAUCCUUGCUGCAUGGUGGGGGUUGGAAAGCUUCGGCGGUUUUGGAUGGACUCGCGGCUUAUCAGCUUGUUGGUGGGGUAGUGGCUUACCGAGGCUUUGACGGGUAGCCGGCCUGAGAGGGCGACCGGCCACAUUGGGACUGAGAUACGGCCCAGACUCCUACGGGAGGCAGCAGGGGGGAAUAUUGCACAAUGGGCGGAAGCCUGAUGCAGCAACGCCGCGUGCGGGAUGACGGCCUUCGGGUUGUAAACCGCUUUCAGUAGGGGCGAAGCUUGUGGUGACGGUACCUGCAGAAGAAGCACCGGCUAACUACGUG
rnacentral:rRNA from 1 species